rnacentral:rRNA from 1 species
CCAAAUCCUAAAGGGGUUGAAAUAAGCAUAGUCUGAUGCCGUUUAAUUGGCGGAGUGUUGAAUGGAUUCACGAGGGCAAAGCUGUCUUGAGUAAAAUGAAAUGAAUUAGACAUAGAAGUGAAGAGACUUUUUGAUCUAGUUAGACGAAAAGACCCCGUGAAGCUUUACUAUAACCUAGCUGCCUUCUAUAAGGGGGUGUUAUUCUUGCCUUUGGCAAGGUUAGCACUAAAACCGAGUAAUCACAGUUAGGUUGGUAGUUUUGGUGGGGCGCCAGCACGUUAAAUAGAACAUGGAGUUGAUUAAGCUAAAAAGCUAAAGCCUAGUGUAAUUGACACAUUUACACAGGGAUAAGAGUCGGUUAAAUGACCCGCCUAAGUAUAAAUGCUUUAGACGACAAAGGAUGAUAGCUACUCCGGGGAUAACAGG